rnacentral:lncRNA from 1 species
UAAACAGAGAGUUACACGGGCUAAGGACACAGGCGUGUCCCAAGCCACAUAGGCAUGUGGCUCUCCACAGUAUGAAAAUUUUCUAAGUGUAGUAAAAGUUCCAAUAGUUUUCAGUUUAGUCCUGAACCACUCCCAACGUAUGUUUUGGGCCUCAUGGGCCUGUAUAAGGGAUGAUAUGCAUGUGAUUGGAUGAAUUUGAUUUGGAC